AGGGUGUAUACAGUUACCCAGAUGAGGUUUGCAAUCAAGCAGCAAGCAGUAAUUCCAACAGAGUUUUAUCUUUGUUGGAUGAAAGUGCAACCCACAUCCUUGCAUUUGAAUGCAUAAAAACUUAUGUUCUUUGUCCAUUAUGAUGAUUGGAGAAUUAAUUUCAAAGGGCUGCUAAUUUGAUCUUUUUAUUUAUAUUUCUUUUGUUGGGGGGGUGUGGGGGAAAGGGAGGGGGAUAUUAUUCUUGGCCAAUAUUCAAACAUCCUCCAUAUCAAUUAUGGGCAAAACUUAUCUUUCAAUUGCUUCUUUAUUUUAACUUCCUUAACUGCACUUUUGAAAAUCUUUUUUAAUCUGACUACUUGAGAGCACUUGCUAUAAUAUAGUGUCAUUGUACUUCAUAUCUUUGCAAAAACAUUUUUAAGAAAAUGUAAUGACAGGUAAAAAAAAAUCCUUUUAGAAUUGAUCUGAAAAUUCUAACACAGAAUUCAAACACUGAGAAGGUAAGUGAGGUAUUUACAAGACUUGGAUGAAGUACAGAAAGCCAACCCUGAGCUGAAGGUGUCUAGGAAACAUGAUCACCGACUAUGUGGUAAAUCUAAUGUAGUACCGAAAGCCAACCAGAGUUGAAGGUGUCUAAGAAACAUGAUCCCUGACAAUGUUGUAAAUCUAAUGUCAGUCCCUAUUGUUUUGGUUAGGAGGAGGGAUGUCCUUGAGUUCCUGACUUCCUGCUAGCUCAUUUAUUCAAAAAAUAA